GGACGAUGAGAGUAUACAAUUUUGGAGUCUAGAACUUCUGUCAACUUGUGCUUGUUAAUUUACAGAGUCUUAAUAUUUCAUAUUUUACUGAAAUGGAUGUAGACGAGAUUGAGGAAGAGGAGUUUGGAUUCUCGAGAAACUAUUUCCUUGCUAAAGAAUUGGGCUCUUCUUCAAGGAAAAAAUCUGCUCGGAAGCUUUCAGAAAUCGAUCUCGUUGACG
rnacentral:misc_RNA from 1 species